GCAUACCACCACCCCAUGGAAGAUUUGAUGGACAUGGACAUGAGCCCCCUGAGGCCCAAGAACUCUUUCUUGGUUGUGAACUAAAGGUGGACAAAGAUUAUCACUUUAAGGCAGAUAAUUAUGAAAAUGAACACCAGUUAUCUUUAAGAAUGGUCAGAUUAGGGGCUGGUGCAAAGGGUGUCUUGCACAUUUUUGAAGCAGAGCCAAUGAAUUAUGAAGGCAGUCCAAUUAAAUAACACUGGCAAUUUUGAAAAUGUCUGUACAGUCAAUGGUUUCCACUGGGGGCUUUGAAAUAACACCGUCUUAUGGUUGAAGUGUGGUUCAGGGCCAGUGCAUGUUAAUGGACAGCACUUGGUAGCUGUGGAGGAAAAUGCAGAGUCAGAAGAUGAAGAGGAGGAUGUGAAACUCUUAAGUAUACCAGUGAUCUGUCCCUGGAGGUGGUAGCAAGUUUCCACAGAAAAAGUAAAACUUGCUGCUGCUGAAGAAAAUGAUGAUGAACAUGAUGAUGAUGAGUUUGAUGAUCAGGAAGCUGAAUAAAAUCACCAAUGAAGAGAUACAAGAUACUCCAGCCGAAAAUACACAAAAGUCAAACCAGAAUGGAAAAGACCCAAAACUAUCAAUACCAAGAUCAAAAGUACAAGAAUCCUUCAAAAAACAGGAAAAAUCUCCUAAAACACCAAAAGUAUCUAGUUCUGUGGAAGACAUUAAAGCAAAAAUGCAAGCAAGUACAAAAAAAGGUAGUUCUCUUCCCAAAGUGGAAGCCAAGUUCAUCAGUUAUAUGAGGAAUUGUUUCCAGAUGACUGACCAGGAGGCUAUUCAAGAUCUCUGGCAGUGGAGGAAGUCUCUUUAAGAAAACAGUUUAAACAAUUUGUUAAAAAAUUUCCAUCUUAUUUCAUGUAACAGUUGAUAUCUGGCUGUCCUUUCCAUAAUGCAGAGUGAGAACUUUCCCUACUGUGUUUGAUAAAUGUUGUCCAGGUUCCAUUGCCAAGAAUGUGUUGUCCAAAAUGCCUGUUUAGUUUUCAAAGAUGGAACUCAGCCCUUUGGUUGGUUUUAAGUAUAUAUGGAAUGUUAUGACAGGACAUAGUAGUAGUGGUGGUCAGACAUGGAAAUGGUGGGGAGACAAAAAUAUUCAUGUGAAAUAAAACUCAGUAUUUUAAUAAAGUAAAAA